CCCUUGUCCUUAUUUGCCAGCGGGUCAAGCCGGGAACUCUAGGGAGACUGCCGGUGACAAACCGGAGGAAGGUGGGGAUGACGUCAAGUCAUCAUGGCCCUCACGGGGUGGGCUACAAACGUGCUACAAUGGGCGGCACAGAGGGCUGCGAACCAGCAAUGGCAAGCGAAUCCCAAAAAACCGCUCGUAGUCCGGAUAGGAGUCUGCAACUCGACUCCUUGAAGUCGGAAUCGCUAGUAAUCGCGAAUCAGAAUGUCGCGGUGAAUACGUUCCCGGGCCUUGNACACA
rnacentral:rRNA from 1 species